rnacentral:rRNA from 1 species
UGGGCUUGACAUGCAGGGUGAAAUCGGUGAAAGCCGACGCUCUUCGGAGCCUGCACAGGUGGUGCAUGGCUGUCGUCAGCUCGUGCCGUGAGGUGUUGCCUUAAGUGGCGCAACGAGCGCAACCCCUGUCCUUAGUUGCCAGCGAGUCAUGUCGGGAACUCUAGGGAGACUGCCGGUGCCAAACCGGAGGAAGGUGGGGAUGACGUCAAGUCAUCAUGCCCCUUAUGUCCAGGGCUGCACGCAUGCUACAAUGCGCGAUACAGAGGGCUGCGAUCCCGUAAGGGGGAGCGAAUCCCAAAAAGUCGCGCUCAGUUCGGAUCGAGGUCUGCAACUCGACCUCGUGAAGUCGGAGUCGCUAGUAAUCGCAGAUCAGCAAUGCUGCGGUGAAUACGUUCCCGGGCC